GAUGAACGCUAGCGGCAGGCUUAACACAUGCAAGUCGAGGGGUAUAGUUCUUCGGAGCUAGAGACCGGCGCACGGGUGCGUAACGCGUAUGCAAUCUACCUUUUGCAGAGGGAUAGCCCAGAGAAAUUUGGAUUAAUACCUCAUAGUAUGUGAGAAUGGCAUCAUUUUCACAUUAAAGUCACAACGGCAAAAGAUGAGCAUGCGUCCCAUUAGCUUGUUGGUAAGGUAACGGCUUACCAAGGCAACGAUGGGUAGGGGUCCUGAGAGGGAGAUCCCCCACACUGGUACUGGGACACGGACCAGACUCCUACGGGAGGCAGCAGUGAGGAAUAUUGGACAAUGGGCGCAAGCCUGAUCCAGCCAUGCCGCGUGCAGGACGACGGUCCUAUGGAUUGUAAACUGCUUUUGUACAGGAAGAAACACUGGUUCGUGAACCAGCUUGACGGUACUGUAAGAAUAAGGAUCGGCUAACUCCGUGCCAGCCGCCGCGGUAACAC
rnacentral:rRNA from 1 species